AACGAACGCUGGCGGCAGGCCUAACACAUGCAAGUCGAGCGAAGCCUUCGGGCUUAGCGGCGGACGGGUGAGUAACGCGUGGGAACGUGCCCUUCUCUGCGGAAUAGCCACUGGAAACGGUGAGUAAUACCGCAUACGGCCCUUAGGGGAAAGAUUUAUCGGAGAAGGAUCGGCCCGCGUUAGAUUAGGUAGUUGGUGGGGUAAUGGCCUACCAAGCCUACGAUCUAUAGCUGGUUUGAGAGGAUGAUCAGCCACACUGGGACUGAGACACGGCCCAGACUCCUACGGGAGGCAGCAGUGGGGAAUCGUUAGACAAUGGGGCAACCCUGAUCUAGCCAUGCCGCGUGAGUGAGAAGG
rnacentral:rRNA from 1 species